rnacentral:rRNA from 1 species
UACGAAGGGGGCAAGCGUUGUUCGGAAUUACUGGGCGUAAAGCGCGCGUAGGCGGCUUUGUAAGUUAGAGGUGAAAGCCCGGGGCUCAACCCCGGAACUGCCUUUAAGACUGCAUCGCUUGAAUCCAGGAGAGGUGAGUGGAAUUCCGAGUGUAGAGGUGAAAUUCGUAGAUAUUCGCAAGAACACCAGUGGCGAAGGCGGCUCACUGGCCCGAUACUGACGCUGAGGUGCGAAAGCGUGGGGAGCAAACAGG